rnacentral:rRNA from 1 species
AUUGAACGCUGGCGGAAUGCUUUACACAUGCAAGUCGAACGGCAGCACGGGGCAACCUGGUGGCGAGUGGCGAACGGGUGAGUAAUACAUCGGAACGUGCCCAAUCGUGGGGGGAUAACGUAGCGAAAGUUACGCUAAUACCGCAUACGAUCUACGGAUGAAAGCGGGGGAUCGCAAAGACCUCGCGCGAGUGGAGCGGCCGAUGUCAGAUUAGGUAGUUGGUGGGGUAAAGGCUCACCAAGCCAACGAUCUGUAGCUGGUCUGAGAGGACGACCAGCCACACUGGAACUGAGACACGGUCCAGACUCCUACGGGAGGCAGCAGUGGGGAAUUUUGGACAAUGGGCGAAAGCCUGAUCCAGCCAUGCCGCGUGAGUGAAGAAGGCCUCGG